rnacentral:rRNA from 1 species
GACGAACGCUGGCGGCGUGCUUAACACAUGCAAGUCGAACGGAAAGGCCCUGCUUUUGUGGGGUGCUCGAGUGGCGAACGGGUGCGUAACACGUGAGUAACCUGCCCUUGACUUUGGGAUAACUUCAGGAAACUGGGGCUAAUACCGGAUAGGAGCUCCUGCUGCAUGGUGGGGGUUGGAACGUUUCGGCGGUUGGGGAUGGACUCGCGGCUUAUCAGCUUGUUGGUGGGGUAGUGGCUUACCAAGCCUUUGACGGGUAGCCGGCCUGAGAGGGUGACCGGCGACAAUGGGACUGAGAUACGGCCCAGACUCCUACGGGAGGCAGCAGUGGGGAAUAUUGCACAAUGGGCGGAAGCCUGAGGCAGCAACGCCGCGUGCGGGAUGACGGCCUUCGGGUUGUAAACCGCUUUCGCCUGUGACGAAGCGUGAGUGACGGUAAUGGGUAAAGAAGCACCGGCUAACUACGUG